UCUCCCUGCUCACAAGUCUUUCACAGGUAUUACACUACCUUCUAUUUUUUACCUUCACCUUUUUCUCUGUAAUCCACCCUCAGAAGCACCCACUUGUAAAGCAAAAUGCAGCUCCUUCCACAGAGAAUAUCCAAAUUCCCAAAACAUGUAUUUUAUUUUUUUGUGGGUUCCAAAAGUCAAGUAAUAUUUUAAAUCAAAGUAGUCAUUAAUCAUAGAAUCACAGACUGCUUUGGUUUGGAAGGGACCUUAAAGAUCAUCCAGUUCCAACCCCCUGCCGUGACCUUAUUUCUAUAUUCAGCCAAUUCAAACUAUCUUUGAUUUCGUGCUGCAGGAAAAAGGGACUCUAAAAGCGAUGGGUGAAUUCAGCAAUUGUCCAAGAUUCCCCAGUACUGAGUUUGCAGUGCAAGCAUGAAGUGUUCCAGAGGAGGGAGCCCUCUCUUAAUCCUGGAAUUGGAAGGAGGGAGCGUGUCUUUGACGGGAAAACUGGGAAAAUAGUAAUUCAGUCUUUUCCACUUUAGAGCUAGAACAUGAGAGAGAGCUCCUGGAAAAUAAAAUCUUCUUGGUUAUGUUUUCAGGUUCACUACAACAAUUACAAAAACCUAGAAAGCUCCCCAAAUCCGUGGUAACUGAAGUCAGAACUUGUCAGAAACGUACUCGCAAAAAACUGUCAUCGCGCUAAUGUGUUGAUGUGACACAAACUGGCCCUUCCCAGUAGGGUUUUAUCACCAGCAGCUGGUUUAAUUUUCAGACUAAUUUUUGCUGUUUAUUCUAUAACUGUAAUCGUAAGUUUCCGUUCUUAAAUCAGGCAUUUGCUUCGGGAAGGAUUUAGCAGCCGUCAGUCCCCCGGCUGAGGCUGAUGUUUUAAUUAUAACCACAGCACUUCCCACAGCGGGCUGCGUUGAUGGUGGCACACGGGGGAGAUCAACACCAGCUCCACAAACCCCCGGUGUCACACCCAAACAACUUUAAGAUGAAGCCAUAAACCGGAGGGAGCCGGUACCGACCCCACCGUGCCUGGCCCCG